CCUACGGGUGGCAGCAGUGGGGAAUAUUGCACAAUGGGGGAAACCCUGAUGCAGCGACGCCGCGUGAGUGAGGAAGUAUUUCGGUAUGUAAAGCUCUAUCAGCAGGGAAGAAAAUGACGGUACCUGACUAAGAAGCCCCGGCUAACUACGUGCCAGCAGCCGCGGUAAUACGUAGGGGGCAAGCGUUAUCCGGAUUUACUGGGUGUAAAGGGAGCGUAGACGGUUAAUCAAGUCAGAAGUGAAAACCCAGGGUACAACCUUGGGAGUGCUUUUGAAACUGAGUAGCUGGAGUGCAGGAGAGGUAGGCGGAAGGCGUGGUGGAGCGGUGAAAUGCGUAGAUAUUGGGAGGAAGACCAGUGGCGAAGGGGGCGUACGGGACUGAAACUGACGUUGAGGCACGAAAGCGUGGGGAGCAAACAGGAUUAGAUACCCGGGUAGUC
rnacentral:rRNA from 1 species